UCGUUGAUGUGUUGUUGUCGGAGAGGGUGUGCGGAGAGAGGCAGUUGUGUCGCGGGAGGGAGAGGCGUGUGGGGGGUAGAGGCGUGUGUCGGAGCGAGAAGAAGUGGUUAUAGUGGGGGGGGGGGGGGGAAGGCGUGUGUCAGAGUGUCUCUGUAGUGGGGGGGGGGUGAGAGGAGCCGUGUAGAUCGGGGUUUUGGGUGUCGUGUGUUCAGAGU
rnacentral:lncRNA from 1 species